rnacentral:rRNA from 1 species
ACGAACGCUGGCGGCUGCGCUUAACACAUGCAAGUCGAGCGAGAACCAGGGCUUCGGCCCUGGGGACAGCGGCGAACGGGUGAGUAACACGUUGGUAAUCAACCCUCGACACUGGGAUAGCCACGGGGAACACCCGGAUUAAUACCGGAUCUGUCCCGUCCGGCCCUCGGGCCGGCCGGAAAAGGUAGCUUCGGGCCUCCGGUCGGGGACGAGGCCCGCGGCGGAUUAGCUUGUUGGUGGGGGUAACGGCCCACCAAGGCGACGAUCCGUAGCUGGUCUGAGAGGACGAUCAGCCACACUGGGACUGAGACACGGCCGCCAGACUCCUACGGGAGGCAGCAGUGGGAAUCUUGCGCAAUGGGCGAAAGCCCUGACGCAGCGACGCCGCGUGAGGGAAGACGGCCUCGGGUUGUAAACCCCUUCAGGAGGGACGAAGCCACUCGGGUGAACAGCCAGAGGGUGACGGUACUCCAGAAGAAGCCCCGGCUAACUUACGUGCCAGCAGCCGCAGGGGUAAUACGUAGGGGGCAAGCGUUGUCGGAUUUAUUGGGCGUAAAGAGCUGUGCUAGGCUGGCCAUGCAGGAUCAGCUCGUGAAAAACUCGAGGCUCAAGCCUCGAGAUGUCGUUGAAACCGCAUGGCUAGAGUCCGGAAGAGGAGAGUGGAAUUCCCGGCUGUAGCGGUGAAAUGCGCAGAUAUCGGGAAGAAAACACCCGUGGCGAAGGCGGCUCUCUGGGACGGUACUCGACGCUGUAGACCGCGAAAGCGUGGGGAGCGACAGGAUUAGAUACCCUGGUAGUCCACGCCGUAAACGAUGGGUGCUAGGUGUGGGGGGUGUCGACUCCCUCCCGUGCCGAGAGCUACGCAUUAAGCACCCCGCCUGGGGGAGUACGGCCGCAAGGCUAAAACUCAAGGAAUUGACGGGGGCCCGCACAAGCAGCGGAGCAUGUGGUUUAAUUCGACCGCGACGCGAUAGAACCUUACCAGGGCUUGACAUGCACCGGAAGCCGUAGAAAUACGGCCUCCCUUCCGGGGCCGGUGCACAGGUCGUGUGCAUGGCUGUCGUCAGCUCGUGUCGGAGAUGUUGGGCUCAAGUCCGCAACGAGCGCAACCCCUGUCCCAUGUAUGCCAGGUGAAAGACGGGGACUCAUGGGAGACUGCCGGGUGACAAAUCGGAGGAAGGUGGGGAUGACGUCAAGUCAUCAUGCCCCUUAUGUCCUGGGCUUACACACGUGCUACAUUGGGCCGGUACAAAGUGCUGCAAACCUGCGAGGGGCUGAGCGAAUCCCAAAAGCGGUCCCGGUUCGGAUUGGAGGCUGAAACUCGCCUCCAUGAAGGCGGAUGUUAGCUAGUAAUCGCGGAUCAGCAAUGCCGCGGUGAAUAUGUUCCCGGGCCUUGUACACACCCGCCCGUCACACCACCGAAAGUCGCACAUACCCCGAAGCCGGUGGCCCUAACCCGCAAGGGGAGGGAGCCGUCGAAGGUAGGGUCGAUGAUUGGGGUG